GCCGCUCCUAAUUACGAGUUAUCACUAAAUGAGAAAUAAUACCCUUCCUCUGCUUCAUCACGUCAAGGCCCCAUGGAUGAGUUGCACAGCCUGGACCCCAGGAGACAGGAGCUCCUGGAGGCCAGGUUUACAGGAGCUGUCAGUGGCAACACAGGAGGCAGCACUGGGAGCACCAGUGGAGGAGCUAAGCAUCAGGAAUGGUUGUCAUUGGGUUUAAUCAACACUUACGGCAGCGGUGUCAUACUGAAAUUCACAGUGGGCCAAAUUAAAAAAAAAACUGGGAUGAAGUCACGGGGGCAAAUGUAAUAUUUAUUAAAAAAAAAAAAAAAUUGAUGGCAGUUGAGCGCAUGUUUUCCCUUCUCUCCAGAUAUGUAAUGUAGAUUUUUUUUUAAUAUGGAACGCUUCAUAUUAGAAACACAUGAGAACUUAAAUUUGAUAU